rnacentral:misc_RNA from 1 species
GAACGAGAAAGGGGAGCAAUCCCUGAGUAAAGUGGCGUACGGGUGAGUAACACGUGGGUGAUCUACCCUUUGGUGGGGGAUAACCCUGGGAAACCGGGGCUAAUACCGCAUAAUCCCGAGAGGGAAAAGCCGCAAGGCCGCCUGGGGAUGGACUUGCGUCCUAUCAGGUAGUUGGUGAGGUAACGGCCCACCAAGCCGAUGACGGGUAGCUGGUCUGAGAGGACGGCCAGCCAGAGGGGGACUGAGACACGGCCCCCACUCCUACGGGAGG